rnacentral:rRNA from 1 species
AGAGUUUGAUCCUGGCUCAGAUUGAACGCUGGCGGAAUGCUUUACACAUGCAAGUCGAACGGUAGAGGGGGCAACCCCUUGAGAGUGGCGAACGGGUGAGUAAUAUAUCGGAACGUGCCCAGUCGUGGGGGAUAACGUAGCGAAAGUUACGCUAAUACCGCAUACGAUCUAAGGAUGAAAGCGGGGGAUCGCAAGACCUCGCGCGAUUGGAGCGGCCGAUAUCAGAUUAGGUAGUUGGUGGGGUAAAGGCUCACCAAGCCAACGAUCUGUAGCUGGUCUGAGAGGACGACCAGCCACACUGGAACUGAGACACGGUCCAGACUCCUACGGGAGGCAGCAGUGGGGAAUUUUGGACAAUGGACGCAAGUCUGAUCCAGCCAUUCCGCGUGCAGGAUGAAGGCCCUCGGGUUGUAAACUGCUUUUGUACGGAACGAAAAGGUUUCCAUUAAUACUGGGGGCUCAUGACGGUACCGUAAGAAUAAGCACCGGCUAACUACGUGCCAGCAGCCGCGGUAAUACGUAGGGUGCAAGCGUUAAUCGGAAUUACUGGGCGUAAAGCGUGCGCAGGCGGUUAUGUAAGACAGAGGUGAAAUCCCCGGGCUCAACCUGGGA